rnacentral:lncRNA from 1 species
AUUGUCGCUGAGCUACCAUCUGUGCCAAUCUUCUGCUAUUUUAUAUGUGGGAUGUUGCCACAGCAUGGCCUGAUGAGUGGUGUGUAGGUCUGCACCUGGGAUCCAAACCCACGAACGCCUGGCCGCCGAAGUGGAGUAUGCAAACUUAACCAGUAUGCCGCCAGGCUCUGGAGUCCCUGACCAAUUCCUCGUCCACAUUUGGCUGGCAGUGGAGGAAGAGCGUGAGGGGAUCGCACAGGAGGCUUUUGUGGGCCAGGUUUGGAAGGCCGAACUCAGUUGCACCCACGUGGUCACACUUACAUGCAAGGCAGCCUGGGAGAAGUCGUCCAGCUGUGCGCCCAAGAGACAGAGGAAUGCUUUUGCGCCUCCGUAGCACUCUCUGCGCUCAACAGAAUUAGACUCCGGUUUCCUUAGGUUCCUUUCUCCUUUCAAUUUUGCUUAAGUCUCUAAUAAUUUAUGAGUAUCCCUAAUUACCUUAAUCUCUUUAGUUCCUGAGUCCAGAUUAUGAGCGUUUAGAUACCACUUAUCCAAGUCCAUUAGGUUCCUGCGUUCAGAUAGGAAGAGUUUUGAUAGCUAGGAUUUAUUCGUUCUUCCUUUAAAAAAAGAAAAUUGAAAUGUG